CCUCAGUUGGUAGAGCAUGGCGCUUGCAACGCUAGGGUUGUGGGUUCAAUUCCCAC
rnacentral:tRNA from 1 species